GACCUGCGCGCCACCGCUGCGAGCGGCCGAGUCCCCGACCCCGGCGGGCCUGCGCGGGGGGGCGGGGACCCGGAGGGCCCCGCGGGGGGACGACAAGUCUGCUUCCGCCCGGCCUCCGCCCGCUCCGGCUGGAACGAGUCUUUCCGGUGGGGCUACCCAGCCCGGGCCGCCGCGCCCAGCCUCCCGGAACCCGCCCCGAGCGGUGCGCGACCCCGCCCAGGCCCAGGGCGAGACCAGGCCGAAAGGUGGAGCCCCCGGAGGGAGAGGCGGGAGAACCUGGGUCCUGGGUCCCAGGCGCGGCGGCGGGCUCCCUGGGCCUUUUCAGCCCCCCGGUCUGACGUCGGAUCCCGUGUGGCCCCAGGAGCACCCUAACAGAGCGUUCUGGAAACGCUUCCUCAGUGAGUCUGCAAAUCAAAGCUCCGGUCCAACCUUAUUACUUUACCUGGGGAGACUGAGGCACAAACAGAUUGUACCAAGGCCGCUGUAUGAGUUAGCAAACCGUAAGGGAGCCUAUGGAAAGCCUAGGAAGAGCUACCGGACAGAGGCCGGGAUCUUCCCCCAGUCCUGAGUCCUGGGGUGUCUGGCCUAGACAAGAAGGGCCAGGUGACCCAGGAGGGGCUGCGUGCGCGCUGCCGGGACAGCUCCACGGGAGGGACAGAGCCACAUCUCAGCGAGGGUCCCGGCCUCACGAAAUUAAUGAGAAUGAUGCCUUUUUGUCCUCAACCGAAGAGUAGAGAUUCCGUUUAAACCUCUGCAGACAGCAAGACAGGGACCACUCUCCCUCCCAGCCUGGCGCCAGCAUGGACCCCAGGGCAUGUUAACAGGAGCCAGGAAUUGGAGGGGAAACAUCCUUCAUUUCCUCAGCGGUGGAACUAGUGAGGUCUCUGAUUGCCAGGAUCUGGUUUUUCAAAAUAACAUCAUGCGAAGACCCAGGAGUGGGGGUGCCCUGGAGGAUUCUUUUAUCUGUUCAACCUUGAGUCAGACUUGCGAUGAGCAUUUGAUCGAGAAACUUGGUCAGUUUCUCAAAAUGCAAAAUCAAUCGCCGAUUUUACUUUUUUACUUGGCAUUUCCUUGGGAUAUUCCCAGUUCUGGGAAUGGAAGAUUAUAUAAACUAUUGUCUUACAUUCUGUCCCGAUUAGCCUCCUUCCUCAAUUCAGGAUUUCCCUGGAGCCGGAUCGUGGCAGCUUCAGGAUUAUGACUUUUUAAAACAUAUAUAAUUUUGAUGAAUUUGUAUCUGUUCCCCAAAUUAGAAACUCCUUUAAUUAUAGGAGAAAACAUUUUCAAAGAGAAAGGGUAGACCUUUAGCGCAAGCCCUGGAGCAAAUGCUUCUAAAGAAAAUCUCAGGGCAGGCAGGUCUUCAGCCGAGUGGUGAGGGAAGAAGCAAGCAUGUCUUUUCUGCAGCUGUCAGGCCUCCCAUCUUCCAGUUAAUUCUUGGCUAGAAAGUAAAGAAAAAAUGAAGGUUUGCUUAAAAUUGUUCACGCCCCUACUUAGGAUUUUAACUUGAGAGAAAGCGUGGUCUUGGUGAAACAGUUUUAAAACUAAUCUUGGGUGGCAGAUGAGGGGAAUUUUCUCCUUUUAAAAGCAUUUCCGGCUCAUAAGCGAAGAGAAAGAAUGGCAGAUAGAACAUUUGCCGUUUUGCAUCCCUAACGAAUGAACAGAUCUAGGCAGGAUAAGCCCUGGCUACUGACAACUUGAGAGAACCUGGGAGGUGCCUGGGUGGCUCAGUCAAUGGAGCAUCUGACUCUUGAUUUUGGCUCAGGUCAUGAUCCCACGGUCUCGCUGGGCUCUGUGCUGAGGGUGGAGCCUGCUUAGGAUUCUCUCCCUCUCUCCCUCUCCCUCCCUCCAUCAAGAUACUCCCCUGCUUGUGCUCUCUCUCCCUAAAAUUAGAGAGAGAGAGAGAGAGAAGGAGAGAGAACUUGACAUGAUGUGCCUUCUAAUGGAAAAACUCAGCACCGAUUGUGUAGUAUUGACGUUCCACACGCUCCUGUCCCCACACACAAAUCAAACCCGCAGCUGAUCCAGCCUCAAGUAGAUCAACGACCAGCUUACGUGAAACACCAAGUACAGGGAUCCUGUUAAACAAUACUAUGGGAACAGAAUCACAGGUAUCCAGAUCAUGUGACACUAUGGGACAAGUGACCGACUUCUUCAAUAAUUAAUUUGUAUUCAAAUUUGAGAACUGGCAUUGAAAACUGACUGAACUGUCUGGCCUGGAGCACGGGACAACUGGCCCAUGGCUUGCUCUGUGACUUUGCAUACCCUGGUUCUCACUUAUCCAUUUAGGAAACAUGGAGGGCUUUCUGUCUGCUUGAGCUUCUGAAACUGUGGAGCUCACACUCUAGGUUAGAAAAUGAUAAGGAAGGAUGCUUCCAGAUGGAGGUGGGGAAGCCUUUGCAAAAGAAGUGGUGUUUGAUAUGAGUCCUGACAGAUGGGAAGGAGUUCCCUGGGUGGUGUCGGUUCAUCUUCUGUAAGAUAAGAUGGUUAGACUGGAUCUACAAGGAUCUACUUAGUCCUAAUAGAUUCUGUGAUUAUAACCUGCCUAUAACCAUUUCCCCCUGCCCCCGUGUGUGUCCCUCCAGGGAGUUGAGAGACCCCCCCCCCCCCAUGGACUUCCUGCCAUCAUCCUUUAUUUUGUUAGCCAAAGCAAUCCAACUUGAGCUGGUGGCCUUGAAUCUCUCAAUUGUGUUUGGAGACCAAAGCAUUAUCACAUUAGCCAGUCCAUAACCUUCUUAGGGAGUGGUCUCUCAGGCUCGCAGAUUUAUUUCCAUCCAUCUAGUUCCCAAGGCAUUUCGCUUAAGUAACCUUAGCUUUACAUUUGCUGGCAGUUAUGCCCAGCGUUGGUAAUAAAGAUCAUUUGCUUAUCAAAA